CCUACGGGAGGCAGCAGUGGGGAAUUUUGGACAAUGGGCGAAAGCCUGAUCCAGCCAUUCCGCGUGCAGGACGAAGGCCUUCGGGUUGUAAACUGCUUUUGUACGGAACGAAAGGCUCUGCCCUAAUACGGCGGAGAUAUGACGGUACCGUAAGAAUAAGCACCGGCUAACUACGUGCCAGCAGCCGCGGUAAUACGUAGGGUGCAAGCGUUAAUCGGAAUUACUGGGCGUAAAGCGUGCGCAGGCGGUUAUAUAAGUCAGAUGUGAAAUCCCCGGGCUCAACCUGGGAACUGCAUUUGAGACUGUAUAGCUGGAGUACGGCAGAGGGGGAUGGAAUUCCGCGUGUAGCAGUGAAAUGCGUAGAUAUGCGGAGGAACACCGAUGGCGAAGGCAAUCCCCUGGGCCUGUACUGACGCUCAUGCACGAAAGCGUGGGGAGCAAACAGGAUUAGAUACCCUGGUAGUCCACGCCCUAAACGAUGUCAACUGGUUGUUGGGUCUUCACUGACUCAGUAACGAAGCUAACGCGUGAAGUUGACCGCCUGGGGAGUACGGCCGCAAGGUUGAAACUCAAAUGAAUUGACGG
rnacentral:rRNA from 1 species